UUCCGAAAGGACUGAUUCUGUUUGAUUUCGAAACUUCCACCACCGGAAUCGCCGCCAUCUCAGUCGCUUCACCCUCCUCCGUCCCGACCUUCCUCCCCAACGCCUCCUCCGUCCCGAUCAAUCUCUGAAGCUCUUGAUAUCCUCUUCUCAGGGGCACGCGUUGAGCUGAGCACGGACUGGUGAAUUGUGGAGCCGACCUUGCUAUUUUGUUUGUUUGGUGUGGUAGUUAAAUCAAUUAACACAUUGUCUCUACCCACUUGGGCUGUUCAUGUUUCCAGCGUUGUCGAAUGGUUCCUCUCCCUUCUUCCUUGAUUUAAUUGAUUCAACUCUCAUCUUAGAAAAGUUUUGAACUUUUGAUCUAUAGUGAUGCAAGAUAGUAGUUUCUGUUGUGGGUUUCUCGAGUUCUUGAUAUCUGUUCAGAAAGAAAGGGUUAUGAGUCAUGUAAAGGUCUCUCAUGGGAAAUAGUUGACUUUAGAAGAGAGUUUUGUUGAAUCUAAGAAGCAAAUAUGUCUUUGUAAGAAUAUUGAUAUGCAAAAAAAAAAAGAAUAUUGAUAUGCAAACUGUUUGGUAUACUUCUGGUUCAUAUGAGAUUAAAGAUGUGUUGAUUUUGUUUUGAUAGGCAGAGAGAUGUACGUAUGGGGAGAGGAUUCUAGGAUCAAGGUCUGAGUAUUUGCAGAGCAAUGCAAGACUAGGAACAAACUCAAGGUUGUUUUGUUUCCUUUCCUUCACCGGGGACACUUGGCUAGAAUCUCUGAACCAGUUAGAGGUAGGCUCUCAUACAAGCCUCCCAUCUAUGAUAUCAAUGCGCCAGACUUGUACAUUCCCUUUAUGGCAUUUGGUACGUACGUUGUUCUUGCUGGUCUUUCACUGGGACUUAAUGGAAAGUAAGUUCUUUUGACCCUAUGCAUCUCUCUCAGCGUUUUGAGUCUUAGGGGUUCAGUGAUUGAUGGACACUGAAGAUUUUUAACCUGAAUUCAUGUAGGUCUUCUUAUUGGUACUUUGUAGCAGAAGUUUGAACAUUAUUGACAUUGUAUGUGGUAAAGAUUCAUGUUUUAUAAACAAUUUUCAUCUCA